CACGUAGGGGGCAAGCGUUGUCCGGAUUUAUUGGGCGUAAAGAGCUCGUAGGUGGUUCGGUAAGUCGGGUGUUAAACCCCCAGGCUCAACCUGGGGACGCCACUCGAUACUGCUGUGACUAGAGUCCGGUAGGGGAGCGUGGAAUUCCUGGUGUAGCGGUGAAAUGCGCAGAUAUCAGGAGGAACACCAGCGGCGAAGGCGGCGCUCUGGGCCGGUACUGACACUGAGACGCGAAAGCCAGGGGAGCAAACGGG
rnacentral:rRNA from 1 species